UACGUAGGUGGCAAGCGUUGUCCGGAUUUAUUGGGUUUAAAGGGUGCGUAGGCGGUCCUAUAAGUCAGUGCUGAAAUAUCCCGGCUUAACCGGGAGGGUGGCAUUGAUACUGCAGGACUUGAGUAAAGUUGAGGUUGGCGGAAUUGACGGUGUAGCGGUGAAAUGCCUAGAUAUCGUCAAGAACACCUAUUGCGAAGGCAGCUAACUAAGCUUUAACUGACGCUGAGGCACGAAAGUGUGGGGAUCAAACAGG
rnacentral:rRNA from 1 species